GGUGCGCAGCCGCGACUGGCGUACGGGGAACGGACCCCGAGGGAGCGGUGCGCGGCCACACGCCUACGAGGUGCCGCCCGCCUGGGUACCCCGG
rnacentral:ncRNA from 15 species